rnacentral:lncRNA from 1 species
CUGCAACCUUCGACUCCCUAGUUCAAGCUAUUCUCCUGCCUCAGCCUCUCAAGUAGCUGGGAUUACAUGCACGUGCCACCAUGCCCAGCUAAUUUUUGUAUUUUUAGUAGAGAUGGGGUUUCGCCACGUUGGCCAGGAUGGUCUUGAUCUCCUGACCUUGUGAUCCGCCCUCCUUGGCCUCCCAAAGUGCUGGGAUUACAGGCGUGAGCCACCGUGCCCGGCCUGGGCAUAUGUUUUAAAGACAUUUAUGAAGCAACUUCUAUUGUCUAAUAUGAGGACUUCCACUGAAGCAUUCUUUCAUGUGGGUCCUGUUCCUACAUUGCAGAUACACCCACCUGUUGUCCUCUAGUAAGCACUGUUAUUUCUUUACUCGGCAUGUAUAUCACUCUUCAGCUAGCAGAUGCUAAUUUCGUUCUCUAUUCAUCUCUUUCGUAGCCCUGUGCUUCCAGAGAAGCUGGUCUUACCAGAAGCUCCAGGCUGGACCUGAGUGAUGUGAGGGAAAUUCUACUGACUUUGCCAGUGAUUAGCUUAGAAUUACCUAAACUCAACACAGGUAAAUGGGAUGUCUGCCAUAAGCUUUUUGUAAAAAUUUCUAGGAAUUACAAUUCCUGAAGGAGAGAUGAUUUUUUUUUCCUGUGGUUUGAUGCCUGGAACUACUGCAACCAGUUGACCUCCAGCCUGAGGAUGAUGCAAACCUUGCUACUGAGUCACCCAGUCUUGAGGCUUGCUCCACCUCUGGACUUCCUGUUAUGUGAGAUGAUAAAUCUCUUGCUGAUUAAGAUCUUGUAAUUGAAACAGGCUCCCUUCAAAUAGAUCACUUUGCAAACUAUGUUAACAUAGUGGUUCCUGAUAAAGGGAAUCAAAUUUCUGUGGUAAGAAGGGGUUCCUCAGGUUUUGCAAGCUGCUGGAGUCCACAUGCACAUUAGGUAUUAUGGCUUGACUGCAUAAAUAGAGAUACAACUUUUGAGUUGUGGAAUUCUCAAAAUUAUUUGAUAAUGUUAAUAUAGGAUGCUUUGAGAACAAAAAGUAAAGAAACAGCUGAUAUUGAGUCCUGGAAAAUAAAGUUUAUGUUUUAGAGAAAGUCCUUAAUUAGGUCUGGACUUCUCCAGUUCCUAUACAGGAGUCCUCAGGCAAAAUACUUAACCUUAUUAAACUUUAGAUGCCUGUUUGUAAAAUGACAAAAAUCCCACCCUGACUUGCCUCUUUAGGAGUGUUGUUAUGAGGCUGAAAUGAGAUAUGGUAAGUAAAAGGGCUUUGUAAAUAAGAAAAGCACUUCCCAGGCAGUAAUUUGAGGAACUUUCUCCUUUUCUAAGUUUACCAGUUUUUUUUUCUCAUUUACUUUCAAUGCUAAUAGUACUUCAGCAUGAAAAUGUCACUUCUACAAAUCUUGAACCCCUAAUUUAUGCUAGACAUUGUAUACACCAAGAGGAUUAUAGCUGAUUAUUCCUGUCUCAUCUGUAAAUUAAAGACUGGAAAAUGACCACAUCCUCAGUUCAAAGGCCUUUAAUUCAAAAGUUUCAUAUCUAGGAUUGAUAAUGAAAUCCCAUAAGGAAAAAAUGCACAUGUAUUUUCUAUAGAAAAUUCUGGCAGGGGUUGGAAAAAAUAAGCAAAAAUAUAUGCAAAACUUAUUUGUUCUUUUAAAAAGUCACUUGAAACUUAAAUCACAAAAUGGAAUGCUGAAAAUCAGAAUGCUAAGACUUAAUAGCCAUAGGCAAACGAGGUGAGCCAUUUCACCUCCACGAAUGUCAGCUGUGUGAACCUUGGCAGAAACAUGCAGGAAGAAGGGGAAGGAGAUGAUUGUUCAUAGGAAGUAAAAUUGAAACAGGUAUGGUACACCCUAUGGGAGUGCUGCUAUAAUAAGAGGGUGCAGUUUUGUUAAGCUGGGCACAGAGCCAAAGCAGAAAUAUGUAUGAAUAUACAUACCUACAUUUGUACGUGUAUGUGUCCAUAAAUAGGUACAUGCAUAGUCACAUAUAUAUACAUAAAUAUAGACAUACACACAUACAUAUAUAUGAAUAUAUACAUACAUAUGUAGUAUCUGAAUUUUUAUAAUUACUGUAUAGACUAAUAUUAAUGCAGAAUAAAAUUGUUGCUAAAUACACAACUUCAUAUGUUUCUUAUAACCUUGAGGCUUAUAUAGGGCUUAUUGGUCUUUUUAUCUGAGUAAAGAAACUGAAGCUCAGAAAGAUUAACUGAUUUAUCCAUGGUUGCAGAGCUGGUCAGGUUUUUUUUUUUUUUUCUUUAAACAAAAGGAGUAUGAUGCUGCUUUUUUUUUUUUUUCUUUACAGAAAGAGUUUGAUCUAAACUGGUUAAGUUUGAGUUGGGAUUUCAACUGAUAUGUAAUUUUGGACUCAGAGUCCAGGGUUCACGCCCUUCUCUAUCCAGGGUCGUAGAGUCUCAAUGUUUCCAGGGAUCUUAAAGUGGUCUGGUCUAACCUACCUUUAAUUUAAGGACUAAUCCUCCAUUUGAUUAAUUAGUUGAUCAGUUCGUCAUUUCAUACUCUUAAAAAAAAAAAGGAAACAGAAAAAUGGUAGCCAGUUGAAUAUAUCAAUUUUUCACCAUUCCUUCUCACCAAAGGAAACAUUCACAAUGCUCAAAACACAAUAAUCAUCCUAGUAUCUUGCUUUCAUUUGCUGUAGUUCAAAUUGACUACUCUUUUGUAGCAUGCUAAUAACAUAAGAUAUAAAAUAAUAAUAAGAAAAACAUGAAUUAUAUAACUCCUGAGAGGAAGGAAGAGUACAUUGGGUUCUUGUGCCUCAGCUUUGACAAUGACUCACUAUGUGAGCUUGGGCAAGUCACUUAUUCUUUCUGUGCCUCAGUUGCAUCACCUAUAAAAUGAAGGCAUUGGGAGAGAUGCCACUUGAGGCCCUUCCUACUUAGUUUCUACACCGCUCUGAGAAGCCAAGUGGAGGGAACAGUGUCUCCAAGCAAGGGUACAGAAUGAGUUGUCUAUGGAGGUUUCUUGUCCACUUAGAAGUUUUCAGUGAAAAAUACCAAGGGUUGGGCGAAACCUCCAUGUUUCCUGAGUUUUCAUCAACAGUGUUGAUUGCAUCUGCUAUGCUGGGGCCUGGUCAGAUGUUGACAUGGCUCAUCCAAAAAUAGUUUGAGAAACCUAGGCUAACCUUGGAAAAAAUCUGUUUUACCACAGUAAACUUUCAAUCCCAUUAACAGAAUUUUUCCUUUCCUGAUUCCUGUCUAGAACCACCCAGGGCUCUUACUCAUUUUACUCUUACUUCAUUCCUUUGUUCCUCUUCCUUCCAUUAAUUAUAUCGUGUCAUUCAAAUGCACCAGGUCAUAGGCUCUGGAUCACUGAAUGUAACUGCCUCCUACACUGCAUGGAUUAGCAUUGUUCUAGCAUAUGGGCUAAUGUGGUAUAAAGAGGUGGUGAGUAAGGGUGAAGAGAACGGUAACAUCUUAGCCCCAAGCAAUUGUACAGAGCUGCAUUUGUAUGCACUUCAACACAGUGAUGUAUUGAACUCUGCGUGUGUGUUUUCUAUAUGCCUUGUCUAGCUUAAAUGUAUUUGGUGUGAAUUUAAUGCAUGAAGCUUUAGUGUUUGAGUCAGGAAACCUGGGUCUGGUCAUGGCUUUGCUUCUGGCUAGCUAUAUUUAACCCAGACUAUUCAAAGUAAUUUUUUGUGUCUUGGCCACUCUCAUAUAGGGAGUGGGGCUUAUGAUCUAUGUGGUGUCAAUUCCACCAAGAUUUUGGGAGGAUCAAAUAGAUGACAUAUUAUAUAUUGGGAUAAUUCUAGGCAUGGCCUGGUUAACUUCAGUGGGAUUUAAUGACUCGGAGAGGCUGGAACAUGGGGCUCUAUCCACCCACUGGGAUGAGACAAUGGCAAGCAGGAACUCAAUCACAGAUCAUGCUGUUCGAAAUUUUAGGCCAGCCAACAUAAUUCAAUAUUCAUAGGAAGGUUAUGAUGAAAGGCAGGUGAUGAUUAAGUUAGCCUGUUUAGCUGUUAGUGAAGAACAUGGAUUUUAAAGUUUAACCAAUCUGAGUUCAAAUCUUUCAUUUUUUAACUGUGUAAACUUGAGUCAGUUCGGGUUGAGCAUCCCUAAUCUGAAAAUCUGAAAUCUGAAAUGCUCCAAAAUCUGAAACUUUUUGAGCAUCGACAUGAUGCUCAAAGGUCAUGUCCAAAGAAAGCACUCACUAGAACAUUUCACAUUUUAGAUUUUCAGAUUAGGAAUGCUCAACUGGUAAGUCUACGUGCAAAUAUCCCCAAAUCUGAAAAAAUCUGAAACCCAAAACACUUCCCGUCCCAAGCAUUUUGAAUAAGAGAUACUCAGCCUAUAUGUAAUCUCCUUGAGCCUCAGUUAUCUCAACUGUAAAAUGAAAGUAAUAAUAUUUUUUGAUAGUAUUAUUGUGAGAUAAUACACAUAAAGCACUUGGAAAGCUCCUGGACACAGUCAGUUGUAUUGCUGUUAUUAUUAAGCUGUUCGCAUUACAGGAGUUUGGCAUUAAAUUUUGGGGGAGUGCCUUCCUAUGGAGGAGCUUGAGCAUUAUGGUAGGGGGUUGAGAGGACAAUAUUUGGGCACCCAGUCAAGUUUACAGCCUCAGAGAACUCUAUUAGCAAGGAAUUAGGCUCUGCUUAAUGUUCCGGGGCAGGACUCUAGGCUGUGGGCACAUGGGGAGGAAGCAAUGCAAAACCCCAGGCUCAAAAGGGCUGGGAUUUUAUUCAGGUAAAUAAGACAGGGGACCAAGCAGAAGUCUAGUUGGCUACAACAGGUGAAGCAGAAUCUCAAGAAGGGUGACUCAUGGGGAGCCCUGGACACUAGGCUGAGAAGGAUUUAAAUCGGGAGCCCAGAAGCCUCAACAGCUAAAAGAACAUAGCAACAAAUAACUGGCCGGGAUCUGAUGAAAAGUCUUCGAAGACCCUUUAAGAACUGCACAGUGCUAAACCUAAUGUAAGAUGGUAUUAGUGUUUGCAGAAGGAAUGCAGAUGGGAGAAAGAGGAACAUUGGCAAUGUUGACCUGUAACAUCAUGGAAACACCUGCAAGGAAGCAUCUAUUCAAAAAAGAAUACACAAAGGCAGAUAGCAGUCAUGGGAGUAAGUUCUUGAGACACCAAAUAUUGGGUUAUCAUAUGAUACUCUUCUCUAAGGUAGUUUCAGCGUGUCAAUCUGAUAAGACAUGUUUGGCCUUCAUUUCUUCUGUUUUCUUAAAGGGAACAUUGACUUUGACUCUCCAGUGAAUUAAACCACAUAGAUAUGCACUGACAAGCACGUGUCCCAUUUUUCAUACAUCAUAAAGAGAAUUUCAAUUUCCACCAAAUUCAACUCCUUUAUUUAACAGAUGAGGAACCUGUAGUGUAAUGAAAAGGAGUUCUGGCCUCGUCUCUUAAUGUGUGACCUCUUACGAACUACUUAAACUCCCUGAGCUAUAGUCUUUUUUCAUAGAAAAAAGAAGAUAAUUGCAUCAGUAUUCUCAGGGUUUUUGUGUUGAUCAAAUGAGAUGUUGUAUGUGAACGUACUUGUGAAUGGUGAAGUGUAAUUCAUAGGUAACUGACUAAUUGGUUGGUAAGAUUCUGAGCUAUAUCUUGACUGGAGGAUUAGUCUCUUUCCUGGUUAUGGGAAUAUAUUGGCUGGUGUUAACUGUUUGCCUUCCUAAAUUCCAUUAAAAAUCUAAAUCCUUGCUUUUUCCUGUUUAUUCUCUUUGACCUGUGCUCCUCACAUUUUUUGGUAAUGAGAAUUACCUUGUAUUAAUAUGUAAUUACCUCAGGGAACUUGUUAAAAUGCAGCUCUUAUAGCCCUUUCCCAAGAGAUUCUGAUGUAGUAGGUCUAAUUUAGGGCCCAGGACUCCAAUACUGGUGGGCCAUGGAUCUCAGUCACAGAAAUUUGUGCCUGGUGAAUUGUUUGCUUAUUUAAUGGUUGGCUGCACAUGUUGUAGCACAAGGGCUCAAAGCUGGGAGUCUGAAAACCUGGAAUUUAUACACGGCUGUGAUACCAACAUAAUUAUUGGUACAAGGUAGAAGUUAAAUAAAUAUUUGUCUUAAUGAGUGUAUGAAAUGGCUUGUCCUGUGACCUUGUAUCUCUUUCCUUCAGUCUCUUCAUUAGUAAAAUGAAAAAGUUGAACUAGAUAACUUCCAAUUUUUCUUUUUUGAGACAGAGUCUGUCAGCCAGGCUGGAGUCCCUCUGCCUCCCGGGUUCACAUGAUUCUCCUGCCUCAGCCUCCCAAGUACCUGGGAUUACAGGUGCUCGCAACCAAACCUGGCUAAUUGUUGUAUUUUUAGUAGAGACAGGGUUUCACUAUGUUGGCCAGGCUGCUCUCGAACUCCUGACCUCAAGUGAUCCACCUGCCUCAGCCUCCCAAUUUGCUGGAAUUACAGGCAUUAGCCACCAUACCUGGCCAAUAACUUCUAAUAUUCUUUAUAGCUUUGACUGUCUUUGACCUUUCUAGCUCUUAGACCUACUGUGGAGACAAGUAAUAGCUUCUAGAAAGUUCCUUAAGCACCUUGAAAAGCUGCAUUUAUUCUUUCCAGCAAAUAAAUAAUUUUCAGUAUUAUAAUUUCAUAGCUAAAUUGGCAUCCUGUUGACUUGUGGUUAAUGCAAUUUAAUAGUGUGACUAAUUUCAUCUCAUAAAAUUGUAGCAAAAGGGAGAAUACUGUGGGUUAAUUUCUUAAGAUAAAAUAUGUAAUUUUUAGAAAUUUAGAAGUAACUCCUUAAAAGACUCCCAUGCCUUUCUCAUGCUAUUAGCAAAUAAGCAUGUUCAAUCUCAAGUUAAUCUACAGCUCUGGGAUUCAGUAAUCUAACUCAUAUUUAAUAAUACCAAAUACCAGGCUGCCUUGGCCUCCCAAAGUGCUGGGAUUACAGGAGUGAGCCAUCGCGCCCGGCCAUCUUUUUUUUCUUUUAUUUCUUUUUAGUUUUCUUCUUUUUUUUUAAACAGAUGGCACAACUCUUCAAAUCUUCAGUGCCUCUUAUUAGGAUUUUGGGAUGACAUUCAAAAUAUCUCAUUAUCUUUCUACAUUCGAACUCGUCCUUUUCUGCUGUUACGCCUCUCUUCGGCAACAGUGGAGUUUUUGAAUUUGUGAUUGUCCAUUGUUUUAGUUCAGCAGUUCCUUCUGCUUGGAGUGACCCUCAUUUGACUGUUUCCACUUCUCAAAACUUAAAUCCUUGUUCAAAUGUCACUUCCACUUCAUGUGCUUCUUUGGUUCCUCUGCCUGAAUUAAACUUUCCCCUCCAAACUUCCACAUUACUUUGAGAACAGCAAGAUUCUAUCAGGUGAAAAAAAAGGAAGGUCUCUUCAGGCAAAAGGUGUAGCAAGGACUAAAAUAUAAACUCAAAAAUAAUUAUGUGUUAUAAAUUUAAGUAUUUACUACAUAUAAGUAAUAGUAAUAUAACACUAAUACUAUAUAUACAGACCAUGUUUAUGUAGGAUAAAAAAUAUAUAGUUAAGACUCAUAUACUUACUGUCUAUCUUAAGAAGUAGAUAUUACCAAAUAUAUUGAAGUUCCUAGAUCUCAGAGCGUCUUUUAUCUCCAAAUGUAACCACUGUCCUGAAUUGUCUGUUUGUGAUUUCUUUGCAUUUUUUGCUUUUCCCUUACAUAUGGUCAUCUAAAUAAUUUCUUUAGGUUUUUGUGUGGAAUAUAAAGUAUAAUAUUUUAUAUGGAAUAUAAAUAAUGUAUUUUAUUUCUGCUACUGGUGUUUUUUAUUAAUCUUUCACUUGUGUAAAUAUAUAAUAUAUAAAUAUAUAAUAACAUGACUAUUUAUGUAUAUAUCACAUUUUUAUUGCCAU